UGCAGUCGACGGUAGAGUAGCAAUACUUGAGAGUGGCGAACGGGUGAGUAAUAUAUCGGAACGUGCCCAGUCGUGGGGGAUAACGUAGAGAAAUUUACGCUAAUACCGCAUACGAUCUAAGGAUGAAAGCGGGGGACUCGCAAGAGCCUCGCGCGAUUGGAGCGGCUGAUAUCAGAUUAGGUUGUUGGUGAGGUAAAAGCUCACCAAGCCGACGAUCUGUAGCUGGUUUGAGAGAACGACCAGCCACACUGGGACUGAGACACGGCCCAGACUCCUACGGGAGGCAGCAGUGGGGAAUUUUGGACAAUGGGCGAAAGCCUGAUCCAGCAAUGCCGCGUGUGGGAAGAAGGCCUUCGGGUUGUAAACCACUUUUGUACGGAACGAAACGGUCUGCCUUAAUACGGUGGGCUAAUGACGGUACCGUAAGAAUAAGCACCGGCUAACUACGUGCCAGCAGCCGCGGUAAUACGUAGGGUGCGAGCGUUAAUCGGAAUUACUGGGCGUAAAGCGUGCGCAGGCGGUUAUAUAAGACAGUUGUGAAAUCCCCGGGCUCAACCUGGGAAUUGCAUCUGUGACUGUAUAGCUAGAGUACGGUAGAGGGGGAUGGAUUCCGCGUGUAGCAGUGAAAUGCGUAGAUAUGCGGAGGAACACCGAUGGCGAAGGCAAUCCCCUGGACCUGUACUGACGCUCAUGCACGAAAGCGUGGGGA
rnacentral:rRNA from 1 species